UCCAGCAGUGUUUCCACCUUGUAGUCUGAUCCAGUCAGAUCUCGGAGACUGUGCAAGGCCGGGCCUGGUCAGUACUGGGCUGAGACCUCUGAGGAAAACCAGGUUGCUGCUGUAA
rnacentral:rRNA from 1 species